GGGUCGUUAGCUCAGUUGGUAGAGCAGCGAUCUUUAAUCAAUUGGUCGCAGGUUCGAAUCCUGCACGACUCACCA
rnacentral:tRNA from 1 species